UCUUAUGGACAAGCAAAGAAAGUGGUUUCUUCAGAUGGAAUCUACUCCUUGUGAAGAUGCUCUUUGUUGAA
rnacentral:pre_miRNA from 4 species